CCUACGGGGGGCUGCAGUUUCGAAUCAUUUACAAUGGGGGAAACCCUGAUAGUGCGACGCCGCGUGGGGGAUGAAGGUCCUUGGAUUGUAAACCCCUGUCACCGGAGAACAAACGCGUAUGGCUAAUAUCCAUACGCCUGAGCUUAUCCGGAGAGGAAGCCGUGGCCAACUCUGUGCCAGCAGCCGCGGUAAUACAGAGACGGCGAGCGUUACUCGGAUUUACUGGGCGUAAAGGGUGCGUAGGUGGCCAAGUGUGUCGGGUGUGAAAUCUCGGA
rnacentral:rRNA from 1 species